rnacentral:misc_RNA from 1 species
CAUUUCAAAAUUACGUGCAGCAGAAAUCAUAUUGAAACUCGACUCUUUGACUAUACAGGAAAAUAGACAUUAUAUUAGUUAAUAUAAUAUAUAUAUAUAACAACAGACAGAAAUAUACAUAUAUAUAUAUAUAUAUAUAUGUAUUUAUGCGAAAACUUUCAUUUAUAACAUCUACUUAACAACGUAAAAAACUCUUUUUUCUUAAUUUUUCGUAAGUUUUUGAUUUUUUUUAUCAUUUUUUUCCUUCUUUUAUUUUCUUUGAUAAAAAUUCUCUUUUUAAAAAGAAAAUAAAAAAAAUAACAAAGUAAACGUGGAAAAGUUUCUUAGUUCAUUAAUACAAGAUUCAGUGUUAUACUGUAUGUAUAGUAGUCUUGUACGUAAAUGGCUGGUAUGGUUGAGUGAGAGAAACAAUGCAAAAUAUGGUGAAACAUGUUUUUUUUUCUUCAUCAUACGUUAUAAUACGAACGUCGUUUAGUUAUGUUUACGAAAUUCUGUACACGAGCGUUAAUGCACUACAGGUUAUAGGAAACGAGAACCAAGGAAGUAAGGAGUUUGUCUAAUAUAUCAUCACGUGACGCGUAUAGUUGUAUUAUCUUUUAUAAAUGAAGAAAAUAAAUUCUUUUUAGUCUGUUUAGAAAUAAUUUCAAAUUUUGUCAUGUCUGGCAGGCUUUUUGUCCUUAUAAAGGCAACAUGGCGACGUAAAUAUAGAAAAGGGAAAAAAGCUAUUGGUCACGUGUUUAUGAUCUUUUGUUAGGAUGCUUUGAGAGUUGGCUCUAAAAUAGAAUGAAUUGGGUGCGCGUGUAAGAUCGCGUGGUGUUUAAAAGAAAAAUUUAAGUGCGACAAAUAUCAAUGUAUAAAAUUGUGAUUGAAGCCAACAUAGCUUCACGUGACUGGUUUAGAUGUUCAAAUGUAGCCCUACUUCACACGCUCUUGUCACAACAACGCUAUUUAUGACGCUUUUAUUUUAUAACGUAUUAGAAUAAAAAUAUGUGAACCUUCUUCUUUUUUAUACUAAUAAAAAUAUUUAAGAUAAGAAAAUUUUCUUCCCUCAAUAACCUACUAAUAUUUACAAAGAGAACCCAUCACUACCUAUCCCUAGGCUAAAUGAUAAAGAGUGGCGGGAGAAAACAGCCUCGGACUAUAGUUUUUCUAUUUAUACGAUAGAAAAAAGGGUUAAAGAGAGAGAGAGAGAAAGAGAGAGAGAGAGAGAGACAUGAUUGGGAGGGGGUAAAGAGUGAAAAGGGAAGAGAGAGAGAGGAAGAGAAAAAACCUACAAAUUUACCACAAAAUUCGACGAACCGUUAAUGACGAAGCAGAGCGAUAAAUACCGAUAAGGCGGGACAGUUUUAUCAUUAUUCGGCAUUCCUCUGCCGUAAACACAUAGUUUUGAGAAGAGCGAAGAGGAAUGUUGCCGGUUGUUUAUAUAACGAGUAUGAUUAUAAUCAUACACUCAUAUUUUGCAGAUUAAUUUAUUAAUUAAACGCAAUCCAAAAUCAAGCACAAAUUUAAUUAAAAUGUUUAUAAUUAUAGCAAUAUACUUUUUAUAUGUAUUACUAAAUUGGAAGAGCUUGUUGUAUAUACUAUGUACAAGUACAGACAAAAUAGGCGAGAACUAGUUUUCCAGAGCAGAAUCCUGCCGCCAAUUCGUACUCUGUUUAUUUGCGGUGUUAAGUAGCAAAAUGUUUACGCCGUAGAACAUUUCGGGUGAAAGAAGCGCCACCUCGUGAAAGGUUUGUCGUCCUUUUCCGCCAGUUUGUAGACGAGGAGCGACGAGUGAACUAUUGUGAAAAUUCUCUCUACAAAUAAUUACAUUAAUUUCAUCUUAUAAGGAUUCAGUACGAAUAGAUAAUAAUCAGGCAACGUAUUCUCAUAGCUAUUAAGCUAAAUAUCUACCAUUCUCGGCAAUGUUCUAAACAUAUUCCUUUAAAAAAUUGGAUAAUAUUGGAGCUAUUAAAGAGUUGUUUUUUAAAAAAAAAAAAGAAACAACGAUUGAUAACGGUAAACUGUAUGUUUCUUUUUUAUUAUUAUAUUUCAUUUAUUUAUUAAAAUUUCACUAUUUCUACUAGUUUUUUAGUGUUAGUAUUUUUUUUAAAAAAAACAAUUAUGCCAAAGAGAAAUAGAAAAAAAAAUAGUUUAAUUCUAAGAAGCUUAAUAUUUUCACCGGAUUUUAUUCACUUUCUUUGUGUUCCUGCAUUAAUGCUAUUAAGCAAGAACAAACCGAGAAUCGGAAGUGACGUGUAAUAAUAACUAUUACGAAAUAUAGCUUGAAAGAAGAAAUGGAAAGCCAAGUUUGUUUGGAGAAAAAAAUAAAAAAAAAGUUUCUUUUUUUAUCAUUUAAGAAGAUUUAAAAGCAAAUGAAUAAGAUUCCGAUUGAAAUAGUAAAAAGAGAGAAGAGAUUGAAAAUGAGAGAGAGAGAGAGAGAGAGAGAGAGAGAAAGUCAUGAUAGGAAUUCUGUAUACAUAAUUAUCUUUUACCUAAAAAAAACCUCCUUGUAAUCGUUAUACUCAAUUCAUCAUGUUAUUCAAAUAAAACCUGGUAGGAUUUUUAUGCAAAUAUGUGACUUUGUACUGGUUCGUCAUGAAUUAUCAUCACAGUUGCAUUCAUCUUUAGAGUUUAGAAAGACCAUGCCUCCAUAUGUAAUGUAUUUGCGCUGAACCCGUAAAUCCUUAUAGAUCUUAUAUAUCCAAGCCGUUUACCCAAUUUUAUGUAAUUUUCUAUUACUCUAUUUUAUAAGUAUAAAAGAUAUGUUUACUAUCCACUAAUAGAUAAAACAGGUAAGAACAUAUAGGUUAAUUAUUUGAGUGUAAAUUGAUGAACGUUGUAUAACAUCUUGACAGAAUAAGGAUUUGUCGACAGGUUGACGUCGUGAAUAUUAAUUAAAGAGAUGAGUGUCGUCUACUGGAAGAUCGUCAAUGGAACCCUAGUUCCGAUAGCAGCCGGAAGUCCGUUAACGCCGUUAAUUACUGCUCAAAUGACUGCCGGAUGGCCAUAUUUGGCAAUGGCAAAUAGAUUUUUGAAGGCUCCGAGUAACGCUAAACCAGUAAAAUGUGAAGCUUGCGAAAUUACAUUAAAUUCCGAACGUCAGGCCAAACAACAUUUUGAAGGCGUCAAACAUUUGAAACAAUUACAAAAGAAAAAAAUGCCUUUACCGCCCGAACUGGAAGAGAAAUUGAAUAAAUACAACGAAAAGAAUUCCAAACGCCGGCGGCAAGAAUCCAGACAUAAAGGAAAGCCUAUGGAAGAAGAAGAGGGAAUCAAGGACAGAAAGCGAGAGGAAAAGCUUCUCUCAAAAGAUGAAAAUGAGAAUAGCGUAUCGGAAGUAGCAGAAACGAAUAAAGAGAUUGAGGAAGAGGAGGAAAAAGCCGUCGAUAAAGGACGCCUAAUUACUUGCAUCGAUGGUUCAUUUGACACUGAAAAUUGUAACGAACUCCGAACGAAAGAUAAUAAUUGCAAACUUCGCCUUUCUAAUAACACUGCUGGGAACUUCUAUAGCGCUCUAGAACAGAUUGCUGCCAAGAGAAUCAGAUUAGAUUACGAAAUAGGUAAGCCAAGUCUUGGCGAUUCCUAAUGGUUGUACUAAUUCGGUCCGGCAGACGGCGCACUUUAUUUUUUUUUGAAAGUAUCCUGCAGAUGGCAUAAAGUACUAUUAAGAAGAACCUUUCAGAUAACCUUAACUGUUCAAUAAACUGAUUAGGAUACUCGGUUAGAAGGGCUUAGAAUAAUAUUCAAAAAAAGACAUUUUUUGUGUCUAAUUAUUGAAGCAAUUAACACUAAUAACGAAUCUAAUCUUUAAUAAGUAAUCAUACAAUCAAGAGAGAUAAUUUAAACCAAAUUUUUCCUUACAAUUUUUGAUUUGUUCUAGGUAAUAUAUAGACAGUAUAUAUAUAAAUUAUAUAUAUAUAUAUAUAUACUAUAUAGUUGCUUUAUCGAUAACCUAUUUCACAUUUUUUAAAAUUAUUCAUAGAAAAAAAAAUCCAGAAAAGUGUUUGACAGAAACUCUGCCCACUCCAAUUACAUGCAUAUAAAUUAGACCUAAUUAAUUUUUUUUGGGUAUGUCAUGUGUUGUUUUUAUUCUUUUAUAUAUAUAUAUAUACUGUAUAUAUGCACUAUAUAUUAUAUAAGAUAUAUAAAGAGGAAUUAAAACAAACUGUACAAAACCUAAAAAAUAAUAAUAAAAUGUAGGCUGAAGUUUCGAACAUAUAGGAAUUUGUAAAAAAAAAAAAAAACAGAACUAUACAUAUAUAUAUAUAUUUAAUUAACUUUCUAACAAUUUACAACUUUUGGGGGAAUCUAUGCUAAAUCUGUGGAGUAAAGGAAUAAAAAAAACCAUAUAUAAAACAACAUUUAAAGACAAAUCUUUGUAUAUAUGGUUUUAAUUAAUUAAUCGCGUUAUUAAUUAAUUACAAUUUCUUUAUUUAUUCAUUAAUUAAUUAUUAUUUCUUUGAAUGUUUCCUAUAAUUUAAUUUAUUUAUUUAUAGUUUCUUUUUUAUUUUAAAUUUAAUUCAUUCUACAAAAAGAAACGACAAUUACGUCUUUGUAUACAAAUGUAUUACUAUGUGUAUUACUAUAUUUAUAAAUUGAUAUCUAUUCUUUAAUUUUUCUUUUCUAGGUGCUACAGAAUUAUCAGAACAAGCAUUGAACGAAGCUAUAGAAUAAUAAUAUAAAACUUAAACGGAGAGAAAACUUUUAUCUCGCAAAUAUUUCUAUUCUUUUUCUAUUAUUAUUAAAAAGGAAAGAAAGAAUCGAAUUGUAAAUAUAAACAUUUUCAUAAAUAAAAAUUUGAUCGGUACAAGCCUUCUUGUCUGUCUAAAAAUAUAUAUAUAUAUAUAAACAGUAUAUAACAUAUAUGUUUGUGGUUUUUUUUUCUAUUCAGGCCUAAUAUUUCGCUUCUGAAACAGGCGUAUUUGCGUAAUAAUUUUGUUAUUGUAUAAUUUCUACCGCCUGUAAUUUUUUACUAGGAUUAUAUCCGGAUAUUCUACUGUAAAAAAAAACCAGCAUGAAUAACAAAAGGUAUUAAAAUUUGCGACAUUUGCAGAUGUUUGUAGGGAAAUCUUUA